rnacentral:misc_RNA from 1 species
UCCGGUUUGUCACCGGCAGUCCCAUUAGAGUGCCCAACUGAAUGUGGCAACUAAUGGCAAGGGUUGCGCUCGUUGCGGGACUUAACCCAACAUCUCACGACACGAGCUGACGACAGCCAUGCAGCACCUGUGCACACUGGUAUUGCUACCUCGUCACCCUUUCAGGCUUCUACUAUGAGCAUGUCAAGGCCAGGUAAGGUUCUUCGCGUUGCGUCGAAUUGAACCACAUGCUCCGCUGCUUGUGCGGGUCCCCGUCAAUUCCUUUGAGUUUUAGCCUUGCGGCCGUACUCCCCAGGCGGUCGACUUCACGCGUUAGCUACGUUACUGAGGGACAGACUCCCCCAACAACUAGUCGACAUAGUUUAGGGCGUGGACUAC